GUGCCAGCCGCCGCGGUAAUACCGGCAGCCCGAGUGAUGGCCGAUCUUAUUGGGCCUAAAGCGUCCGUAGCUGGCCGCGCAAGUCCAUCGGGAAAUCCACCCGCCCAACGGGUGGCCGUCCGGUGGAAACUGCACGGCUUGGGACCGGAAGGCGCGACGGGUACGUCCAGGGUAGGAGUGAAAUCCUGUAAUCCUGGACGGACCGCCGGUGGCGAAAGCGCCUCGGGAAGACGGACCCGACAGUGAGGGACGAAAGCGGGGAUCUCGAACCGGAUUAGAUACCCUUGUAGUCC
rnacentral:rRNA from 1 species